rnacentral:lncRNA from 1 species
AGCUGAUUUGCAGUGUUAUAGAGCAAAGUGACCCAGCCAUACAUAUACAUACAUUCUUUUUCUCAUAUCAUCCCCCAACAUAUUCCAUGCCAUGAGAUUGGACACAGUUCCCUGUGCUAUAUGGUAAAAGAGGUGGGGUUUUUUUGUUUUGCUUUGUUUUUCUUUUCCUUUUAGUGCCACACCCAUGGUAUAUGGAACUUCCCAGGCUAGGGAUUGAAUUAGAGCUACAACUACCAGCCUACACCACAGUCGUGCCAAAGUGCUAUCUGAGCCGCAUCUGCAACCUACACUGCAACUUGUGGCAAUGCCAGAUUCUUAACCCACUGAGCAAGGCUGGGAAUCAAACCCUAAUCCUCACAGAUACUAUGGCAGAUUCUUAACCCGCUGAGCCACAACAGGAACUCCAGGUUUGUUUUUUUAAAAAAAAAAAAAAAAGUCAAAUGAAAAGAUGUUGAUAAAAGAAUUGUAAAUUCAAGGAGGUUCAGAGUCAGUGGGGUUUUCCAAGGGAAAUAUUGACAUCAAUUGUUAAAUUGCUGAGGCAUCGGGGAGGUAGAAAGAUAUGGGAGCUGCUUCUAGAGAAAGUAAAGAAAUAAGUCUUUGACCACAUUGUGGGUCAAGACACAACCGAGGCACUGAUGAGAAAGUGCAGACCUGCCAAGGACUCAGGAUGUUCUGACAGGGAAAGGAGGGGAAUAGGGAAGAGGAAUCUUGGAUGAAAAUAGGCUUUUGGUUUGUACUUAAAGACGGUGAGUCUCUGGUUGCAGCCCAAAGGCAUCCGAGCUCCAGGGAUACAAAUGGAGGACCAUCCAGAGAGGGGUUAUUAAAAAGGGCUCCAAGGCAGGAGGAGAAGGAUAGAAGAGACACCAGGUCAAGCAGAAUGAAGCCAGAUGAUCAAGUCAUGAAGAAGGACAACAUUCCUGACACCAGCAAGGGGAAGGCCCUUCUUCCUCUAGAGAAAAAGGCCCCUGCUCCAUCCAGCCUUGAAGGCCAUUCUGCUGCUCUCUAG